GUGCAGUUUCCACGAAUUCGGUACGCCAUUUGGAGCCGGUAUCGACGGACAACAGCUAAUAUAUGCAAAUUUGAGUAAUAAAAAGCUGUUCGACGUUGAUAAAGAUCAAUCGAAAAUUACUUGAUAAAUAUCGAUUAGUUUUUCAUUUCACUGAAAAUUUGAUCGUCGAUUUAAUCUCACCAGAGUAAAAAGUGUUGAUUUUCUUCAAUUCACGAUCGCAGAAGGUGAAAAAGACUUCGUCGAAAGAGGCAAAAUGGCGAGAUAUGGUUUCCUGCUCGACAAUCUCAACGGACGGAGCCUCUUCUACCGCCGUAUACAACAUGGCUUUCAUUUCCUACAAAAUAUUUGUAGAAAAACACCAAUAAUAUGUCACGUUACGAAUAAAUAUAGUAAAAAUUA
rnacentral:lncRNA from 1 species